rnacentral:rRNA from 1 species
CUACAGAGGGUGCAAGCGUUAAUCGGAAUUACUGGGCGUAAAGCGCACGUAGGUGGCUUGAUAAGUUGGAUGUGAAAUCCCCGAGCUUAACUUGGGAAUUGCAUUCAAGACUGUCUUGCUAGAGUGUGGAAGAGGGAAGCGGAAUUCCAGGUGUAGCGGUGAAAUGCGUAGAUAUCUGGAGGAACAUCAGUGGCGAAGGCGGCUUCCUGGUCCAACACUGACACUGAGGUGCGAAAGCGUGGGGAGCGAACAGGAUUAGAUACCCUGGUAGUCCACGCAGUAAACGAUGAAUACUAGGUGUAGGGGGUAUCGACUCCCUCUGUGCCGCAGUUAACACAAUAAGUAUUCCGCCUGGGGAGUACGGCCGCAAGGUUGAAACUCAAAGGAAUUGACGGG